rnacentral:rRNA from 1 species
UGAGGAACAUGACCUUCGGCGGGGGAGUAGCCGGCCCAACGGCCGGGUAAUACCGCGUACGACCACAUGGGGACAUCCCUGAGUGGUGAAAGCAGCAAUGCGCCGAUGGAGUGCCUCGCGGCCUAUCAGCUAGUUGGUGUGGGUAAUGGCCCACCAAGGCGACGACGGGUAGCCGGCCUGAGAGGGUGACCGGCCACACUGGGACUGAGACACGGCCCAGACUCCUACGGGGAGG